rnacentral:rRNA from 1 species
AACGAACGCUGGCGGCAUGCCUAACACAUGCAAGUCGAACGAAGUCUUCGGACUUAGUGGCGCACGGGUGCGUAACGCGUGGGAAUCUGCCCUUGGGUGCGGAAUAACUCCUCGAAAGGGAUGCUAAUACCGCAUAAUGUCGUAAGACCAAAGAUUUAUCGCCCAAGGAUGAGCCCGCGUAAGAUUAGCUAGUUGGUGGGGUAAAAGCCUACCAAGGCGACGAUCUUUAGCUGGUCUGAGAGGAUGAUCAGCCACACUGGGACUGAGACACGGCCCAGACUCCUACGGGAGGCAGCAGUGGGGAAUAUUGGACAAUGGGCGAAAGCCUGAUCCAGCAAUGCCGCGUGAGUGAUGAAGGCCCUAGGGUUGUAAAGCUCUUUUACCAGGGAUGAUAAUGACAGUACCUGGAGAAUAAGCUCCGGCUAACUCCGUGCCAGCAGCCGCGGUAAU